AAGAUCUCAUUGGGGUGCCCAUCGGGGCUGAGAGGCGCUAAGCCAACCCACCGAACCUGAUCCGGGUCGUGCCGGCGGAGGGAGUUGAGAUGACCGACGAC
rnacentral:ncRNA from 2 species